rnacentral:rRNA from 1 species
AUGAACGCUGGCGGCGUGCCUCAUACAUGCAAGUCGAGCGAACAGAUGAGGAGCUUGCUCCUCUGACGUUAGCGGCGGACGGGUGAGUAACACGUGGAUAGCCUACCUAUAAGACUGGGAUAACUUCGGGAAACCGGAGCUAAUACCGGAUAAUAUAUUGAACCGCAUGGUUCAAUAGUGAAAGACGGUUUUGCUGUCACUUAUAGAUGGAUCCGCGCCGCAUUAGCUAGUUGGUAAGGUAACGGCUUACCAAGGCAACGAUGCGUAGCCGACCUGAGAGGGUGGUCGGCCACACUGGAACUGAGACACGGUCCAGACUCCUACGGGAGGCAGCAGUAGGGAAUCUUCCGCAAUGGGCGAAAGCCUGACGGAGCAACGCCGCGUGAGUGAUGAAGGUCUUCGGAUCGUAAAACUCUGUUAUUAGGGAAGAACAAAUGUGUAAGUAACUAUGCACGUCUUGACGGUACCUAAUCAGAAAGCCACGGCUAACUACGUG